rnacentral:tRNA from 1 species
GCGCCUGUAGCUCAACUGGAUAGAGUGACGGACUACGAAUCCGCAGGUUGGGGGUUCAACUCCCUCCAGGCGCACCA